GACUCGCGUCACUUCCAGCUUGACAAAACAGCCCGAAAAGGACGAUGAAGAUGACGACGAGGAGUUCGAGUACGACAUGGCCAUGUUUCUAAGGAAGAUGAGUGAACAGACAAAAGACUCAAAGAUAAAGAUCUUUCCAGAACCGAUGCAGAAGGAAGCAGAAAAACCAAAGG
rnacentral:sRNA from 1 species